UAGGGAAUCUUCGGCAAUGGACGAAAGUCUGACCGAGCAACGCCGCGUGAGUGAAGAAGGUUUUCGGAUCGUAAAACUCUGUUGUUAGAGAAGAACAAGGACGUUAGUAACUGAACGUCCCCUGACGGUAUCUAACCAGAAAGCCACGGCUAACUACGUGCCAGCAGCCGCGGUAAUACGUAGGUGGCAAGCGUUGUCCGGAUUUAUUGGGCGUAAAGCGAGCGCAGGCGGUUUCUUAAGUCUGAUGUGAAAGCCCCCGGCUCAACCGGGGAGGGUCAUUGGAAACUGGGAGACUUGAGUGCAGAAGAGGAGAGUGGAAUUCCAUGUGUAGCGGUGAAAUGCGUAGAUAUAUGGAGGCACACCAGUGGCGAAGGCGGCUCUCUGGUCUGUAACUGACGCUGAGGCUCGAAAGCGUGGGGAGCAAACAGG
rnacentral:rRNA from 2 species